rnacentral:rRNA from 1 species
GAUGAACGCUGGCGGCGUGCUUAACACAUGCAAGUCGAGCGAUGAAGUUUCCUUCGGGAAACGGAUUAGCGGCGGACGGGUGAGUAACACGUGGGUAACCUGCCUCAUAGAGUGGAAUAGCCUUCCGAAAGGAAGAUUAAUACCGCAUAAUGUUGAAAGAUGGCAUCAUCAUUCAACCAAAGGAGCAAUCUGCUAUGAGAUGGACCCGCGGCGCAUUAGCUAGUUGGUGGGGUAACGACCUACCAAGGCGACGAUGCGUAGCCGACCUGAGAGGGUGAUCGGCCACAUUGGGACUGAGACACGGCCCAGACUCCUACGGGAGGCAGCAGUGGGGAAUAUUGCACAAUGGGGGAAACCCUGAUGCAGCAACGCCGCGUGAGUGAUGAAGGUUUUCGGAUCGUAAAGCUCUGUCUUUGGGGAAGAUAAUGACGGUACCCAAGGAGGAAGCCACGGCUAACUACGUGCCAGCCGCCGCAGUAA